GGUCAAUGCUGCCCAGUUUCACGGCCUCAGGUAUACUAUCAGCCCCUAUUGGGCUGCUCUCCAAGUGCCCAGAAGAACUUAAAGACAGACCACAGAGUGCAGAAUAUCAGAACUGUGCAAAGAACAUAUAAGGCUAGCGGAAGCCAGCUGCUCUGUUGUAAGCACACUCAAGCAGCCCUAUGGAGGAUUAUAGGUGGUGAGGAACUGAGGCUUCCUGCCAACAGCCAGAACCAAUUUGCCGGCAAUGCUGAGGUGCCAGUCAAGCCUUCAAGGGAUCACAGCUCCCUUAGACUACAACCUUAUGAGAAAGCUUAAGCUGGAACCACCCAGAAAAGUCACUCCUGAAUUACUGACACAGAAACUGUGAGAUAAUAAAUGC
ensembl:lncRNA